rnacentral:rRNA from 1 species
CCUACUACGUGCCAGCAGCUGCGUAAAUCGUAGAAGGCGAGCGUAAUCCGAUUUACUUGGACGUAAAGCGGUGGUAGCCGGUUUGAUAAGUUGGAUGUGAAAGCUACUGGCUCAACUGGGAGAGGUCGUUCAAAACUUUCAGACUCGAGAGUGGUAGAGGGAGGUGGAAUUCCGCGUGUAGUGGUGAAAUGCGUAGAUAUGCGGAGGAACACCAGUGGCGAAAGCGCCUCUUGGCCCAUUUCUGACGCUCAGACACGAAAGCUAAGGUAGCAAACGGGAUUAGAGACCCCGGUAGUCUUAGCUGUAAACGAUGUGAACUUAGUGUCGGUGGGGUUAAAUCCAUCGGUACUGAAGCAAACGCGAUAAGUUCACCGCCUGAGGACUACGGCCGCAAGGUUAAAACUCAAAGGAAUUGACGGGGCCCCGCACAAGCAGCGGAGCGUGUGGUUUAAUUCGAUGUUACACGAAGAACCUUACCAGGGUUUGACAUGCAAGUGGUAUGAAGCCGUAAGGUGACCGACCCUUCGGGGAGCUUGCACAGGUGCUGCAUGGCUGUCGUCAGCUCGUGUCGUGAGAUGUUCGGUUAAGUCCGCUAACGAGCGCAACCCUCGCUGUGUGUUAUAUGUGUCACACGGGACUGCCGGUCUUAAGCCGGAGGAAGGUGGGGAUGAUGUCAAGUCAGCAUGGCCUUUAUAUCCUGGGCUACACACACGCUACAAUGGCCAACACAAUAGGUUGCUAAGCCGCGAGGUGGCGCCAAUCCAUAAAGUUGGUCUCAGUUCAGAUUGUAGGCUGCAACCCGCCUGCAUGAAGAUGGAGUUGCUAGUAACCGCAGGUCAGCUAUACUGCGGUGAAUACGUUCCCGGGGCUUGUACACACCGCCCGUC